AGGGUUCCAUGUGAACAGCAGUUGAACAUGGGUCAGUCGACCUUAAGGGAUAGGCGAAGGCCGUUCUGAAGCGGGGUGAUGUUCGCGUCGCCCCGGCGGACCGAAAGGGAAUCGGGUUAAUAUUCCCGAACCUCGACGCGGAGAUUGGCGCUCCGGCGCCUAGUGCGGCAACGCAAACGAACUCGGAAACGCCGACGUGGGUCCCGGGAAGAGUUCUCUUUUCUUGGUAAGGGGCGGCGACCCUGGAAUCGGUUCGCCCGGAGAUAGGGACAUGGGCCCCGUAAAGCAGCACGUCUCUUGUGCUGUCCGGUGAGCUCGCGUCGGCCCUUGAAAAUCCGAGGGAGACGGUGUAAUUUUCGUGCGAGGUCGUACCCAUAUCCGCAGCAGGUCUCCAAGGUGAACAGCCUCUGGCCGAUAGAACAAUGUAGGUAAGGGAAGUCGGCAAACUAGAUCCGUAACUUCGGGAAAAGGAUUGGCUCUAGGGGCUGGGUCGGUCGGGCUGAGGUACGAAGCGGGGCGCGGCGCUGUACCGGACUGGGCGAACGACGGCCUCCCUCGCGGGGGGCUGGCGUGAGCCUGGACCUGUGUCGGCGUCUUCCCGUGGAAUGCCGCAGCUAACGCGGGCCUCGCGGCCCGCUUCGGCCGGCGUCGAACAGCCGACUUAGAACUGGUACGGACCGGAAGAAUCCGACUGUUUAAUUAAAACAAAGCUUUGCGAUGGCCGUCAGCCGGUGUUGACGCAAUGUGAUUUCUGCCCAGUGCUCUGAAUGUCAAAGUGAAGAAAUUCACCCAAGCGCGGGUAAA
rnacentral:ncRNA from 1 species